UAUAAGUAUAGACAUUCUAUAUACUAUAUAUACUAUAUAUUUAUAUACACACACACCCACUAUGCUUUUAAAAAUUGUUUACUUAUGUCCCAUCAUUGAAGGGUAAAAUACAAAAUCACUGAUAUUGAGAGACAUUCUCCUCAAUCAUUUAACAUUUUCCUUCACAAACCUGUGCUGUAGCCACACCCAGAACAGGUUAUCUUCCUUCAAAGACACACACACUUUUCUAUCACUCUCCUUUUACUCCUUCUAUUCCAUCUGCUUAGACCAUUUUUUACUUGUUUUCUGUCUAUCUCCAUUCAUUUUUCAGGAUCCAAUUAAAAUAUUGAUACAAAGGCUGAGAUCUUUAUAUCUUCUCUUAUUUAAAUUCCUGGAGCACCAGAUAACUUCCUCUAUUGUAAUUCUUACUGUAUACAACCAUAACUCUCAUUUGAAAGCAAUGUACAUAAUUAUAAAAUCAGAUGUAUCAUAAAAUGAUUGGUAUCAAUAUGUGAAAAAAAAUCUUUAAUGUUGAAAGUACAAGAUUACAAGCCAUCUGAAAGUAACUGAUCAUCAAUCAGAGAAAAAUGCUCAUCAUUUUUUGAUGAAACCAAAAGUAAGAGAAUUUGGUAUUAAUCUACUACAUCAUUGGUAAGUUACAUAUUAAUUAUUGUGAGAAAGAAAUAAUUGACG
rnacentral:lncRNA from 1 species